UGUUAAAAAUUUAAUCUAUUUUUACGAUUAAAAACUGGCAUAGUUGACGAUAUAACCAGACAAUUACAUGUGAUGUACUACUGUAUACUUUACGCUAAUGUACAAUGACCAACUUUUAACAAUUAAAAUGAAAGGAAUUUUUAACA
rfam:Gossypium hirsutum cultivar TM-1 chromosome 22, whole genome shotgun sequence